rnacentral:rRNA from 1 species
UACGUAGGGGGCUAGCGUUGUCCGGAAUCAUUGGGCGUAAAGAGCGUGUAGGCGGUCCGGUAAGUCCGCUGUGAAAGUCGGGGGCUCAACCCUCGAAUGCCGGUGGAUACUGUCGGGCUAGAGUGCGGAAGAGGCGAGUGGAAUUCCUGGUGUAGCGGUGAAAUGCGCAGAUAUCAGGAGGAACACCGGUGGCGAAGGCGGUUCUCUGGGCCUUACCUGACGCUGAGGAGCGAAAGCCAGGGGAGCGAACGGG